CAGGCCUAACACAUGCAAGUCGAACGGCUCUUCGGAGCAGUGGCGGACGGGUGAGUAACGCGUGGGAACGUGCCCUUUGGUUCGGAACAACACAGGGAAACUUGUGCUAAUACCGGAUGAGCCCUUCGGGGGAAAGAUUUAUCGCCAUUGGAGCGGCCCGCGUUGGAUUAGGUAGUUGGUGGGGUAAAGGCCCACCAAGCCGACGAUCCAUAGCUGGUCUGAGAGGAUGAUCAGCCACACUGGGACUGAGACACGGCCCAGACUCCUACGGGAGGCAGCAGUGGGGAAUCUUGCGCAAUGGGCGAGAGCCUGACGCAGCCAUGCCGCGUGAAUGAUGAAGGUCUUAGGAUUGUAAAAUUCUUUCACCGGGGAAGAUAAUGACGGUACCCGGAGAAGAAGCCCCGGCUAACUUCGUGCCAGCAGCCGCGGUAAUACGAAGGGGGCUAGCGUUGCUCGGAAUUACUGGGCGUAAAGGGCGCGUAGGCGGACAGUUUAGUCAGAGGUAAAAGCCCAGGGCUCAACCUUGGAACUGCCUUUGAUACUGGCUGUCUUGAGUUCGGGAGAGGUGAGUGGAAUGCCGAGUGUAGAGGUGAAAUUCGUAGAUAUUCGGCGGAACACCAGUGGCGAAGGCGACUCACUGGCCCGAUACUGACGCUGAGGCGCGAAAGCGUGGGGAGCAAACAGG
rnacentral:rRNA from 1 species